rnacentral:pre_miRNA from 1 species
GAGAUGCCACUGCGAGAUGUUUGAGAUGCCACUGCGAGAUGUUUGAGAUGCGCAGUGGCAUCUCAAACAUCUCGCAUUGGCAUCUC